rnacentral:tRNA from 1 species
AGCCCCGUAGUCUAGCGGUAAGGAUAGCUGCCUCUGGAGCAGCGGACGCAGGUUCGAAUCCUGCCGGGGCUA